rnacentral:rRNA from 1 species
GCAUGCGCGUGCUAUAAUGCAGUCGAGCGAACAGAUGAGAAGCUUGCUUCUCUGAUGUUAGCGGCGGACGGGUGAGUAACACGUGGGUAACCUACCUAUAAGACUGGGAUAACUCCGGGAAACCGGGGCUAAUACCGGAUAAUAUUUUGAACCGCAUGGUUCAAUAGUGAAAGACGGUUUCGGCUGUCACUUAUAGAUGGACCCGCGCCGUAUUAGCUAGUUGGUAAGGUAACGGCUUACCAAGGCGACGAUACGUAGCCGACCUGAGAGGGUGAUCGGCCACACUGGAACUGAGACACGGUCCAGACUCCUACGGGAGGCAGCAGUAGGGAAUCUUCCGCAAUGGGCGAAAGCCUGACGGAGCAACGCCGCGUGAGUGAUGAAGGUCUUCGGAUCGUAAAACUCUGUUGUUAGGGAAGAACAAAUUUGUUAGUAACUGAACAAGUCUUGACGGUACCUAACCAGAAAGCCACGGCUAACUACGUGCCAGCAGCCGCGGUAAUACGUAGGUGGCAAGCGUUAUCCGGAAUUAUUGGGCGUAAAGCGCGCGUAGGCGGUUUCUUAAGUCUGAUGUGAAAGCCCACGGCUCAACCGUGGAGGGUCAUUGGAAACUGGGAAACUUGAGUGCAGAAGAGGAGAGUGGAAUUCCAUGUGUAGCGGUGAAAUGCGCAGAGAUAUGGAGGAACACCAGUGGCGAAGGCGGCUCUCUGGUCUGUAACUGACGCUGAUGUGCGAAAGCGUGGGGAUCAAACAGGAUUAGAUACCCUGGUAGUCCACGCCGUAAACGAUGAGUGCUAAGUGUUAGGGGGUUUCCGCCCCUUAGUGCUGCAGCUAACGCAUUAAGCACUCCGCCUGGGGAGUACGACCGCAAGGUUGAAACUCAAAGGAAUUGACGGGGACCCGCACAAGCGGUGGAGCAUGUGGUUUAAUUUGAAGCAACGCGAAGAACCUUACCAAAUCUUGACAUCCUUUGACCGCUCUAGAGAUAGAGUCUUCCCCUUCGGGGGACAAAGUGACAGGUGGUGCAUGGUUGUCGUCAGCUCGUGUCGUGAGAUGUUGGGUUAAGUCCCGCAACGAGCGCAACCCUUAAGCUUAGUUGCCAUCAUUAAGUUGGGCACUUUAGGUUGACUGCCGGUGACAAACCGGAGGAAGGUGGGGAUGACGUCAAAUCAUCAUGCCCCUUAUGAUUUGGGCUACACACGUGCUACAAUGGAUAAUACAAAGGGCAGCGAAUCCGCGAGGCCAAGCAAAUCCCAUAAAAUUAUUUUCAGUUCGGAUUGUAGUUUGCAACUCGACUACAUGAAGCUGGAAUCGCUAGUAAUCGUAGAUCAGCAUGCUCCGGUGAAUACGUUCCCGGGUCUUGUACACACCGCCCGUCACACCACGAGAGUUUGUAACACCCGAAGCCGGUGGAGUAACCUUUUAGGAGCUAGCCGUCGAAGUGACAAAGUU